UUUUAAUACUUUCUUAAUUUUUUA
rnacentral:tRNA from 1 species